UGCACCAUAAACACUGAACAAAGGCGCAAUGAACAUGCUUAAAAACUAUUUAUUAACUCAUUCACUGCCAUUGACAACAAAAGUCGGCAUUUUAAAUCCAAACUUUGAAAAUUGCUGGCAGAAAACGCCUUUAUUGGUCAGGAAACGUCUGGCAGUGAAUGAGUUAAUAAACACGAAUGUAAUGAACACAUGCACCAUAAACACUGAACAAAGGCGAAAAGAACAUGCUUAAAAAAGAAUUUAUUAACUCAUUCACUGCCAUUGACGACAAAAGUGUCAUGUUCCUGGGCAGAGGUGAGUCACACCUUCUCCCUCACCAGACUCUAACUUAAUUCUCCACAGGUGAGGAGCAGGGGGAGCGGCAGCUGCAGGAGAUUUCCCAAUCAGGAACGCGGGUUCAAAAGGAGGAUGGAGACACAUCACUUUGCCGGAUGAUUGCACCAGUUUAGGAUCAUCUCAUCAUCUACUCACCCUCGCUGUCUUCGUUUUCUGGAACAUACUCAUCACGUCCCAUCCUCCUCCGCCGUUCCUGUUUGGCUUUCCCUCUGCUACCUCACCCCUCCUGGAUCUCUCAUCCUCUGCCCAGCGUCCUCCCCGGCUUCCCCUCCUCUCCUGAUUAACCUGAGCACCUCAGAGACUCGAGCCGUAUUGCUCAUCCCACAGGACUUCCCUGUGCGGUUUCAGUUCCCGUUUUUAUAAUAAAGACAUUUUACUUUACUGCUUUGGACUACGUGUGCUGAUUCUGCAUGUCUUGGGUUAGACACUUACCUCGAGCCAUGACAAAAAGUCCUCAUU